GUUAUGGAGUGGGUCGCGCGAGACGCGCCAAAUGCUCCCUACUGUGGCACGUGCCAGGUGCUAUUGGCCUCUCUGGGCGCGAGCCUGGUCCGUUGACUAGAGGGAGGCGGCGCGUCAUCCAGCGUCAUCCAUCUCUCCUGCUCUGACUAGAUUCCCAGAGACCUCGGCCGUCGCUCAUUACUGCGACGCUAGAGCGACCCAUAACGACGAAAAACAGCCAUAUGGUGUCUCUCCUGGAAGUUUGUACCUGGUGCUGUUGCUGUUCAGGAGCAUGCUUCUUAAAUAAAACUGCAGUAAGCAAAACUGAUGGGCGGAUAAUGUUUGAAGCAAAUGGAGGAACUGAAACAUGAUAGCUGCAUUCGCACCCCUUCAGGCAGGUUCCCCAGGGAGCGUGCACUGUGUUACAGUCUUCCCCCAUCCACUCCACAGUUCUGAGAUGCACAGAGAUGAUAACACACUCUGUGCUGGUAUAUGGUGAAGUGUGCAGCUGCAGCGGUUAGG
rnacentral:lncRNA from 1 species